GGCUGGCGUGACGCCGCACCAGCCUGAGGCGCGCCGUGAGUUCUCCCGAGGAGGUUGUCCCUGGAUCCCGGGACCCUGGCGGUGGCAGGCUGCACAGGCUCCCCGGAAUGGGGGUGUGGAUAGUAACCUGUGCUCACACACAGGUUUCUUGGUGGCGGCAGCAGCAGCCUUAGCGUCUCAUGCCUGUCUCUGGGGUCCGCGCUUUUAGCCGCGGCCCUCGCCCGUCUCUGGAGCUCCUUUAAGCAGCGUUCUCAAUCCCCUCUCCUCGCGCACCAGGUCUAAAUAUAAUAAGCUGCCAACAUCAGAAGUCGGAAACUGCUGGAACCCUGGUCAAUGCCUGAAGCACAGAAGAGAGGCAAGGAAAAGGACGAAAGUUUUUAGAACAGUGCUGGCUACAGAGAAAUGUGUGAGUGAAGCAGGAGAGAGAAAACAGAAAAGGUGUGGGAACACGGUGUUGAAGCUGAAAGAGACCUUUGAGCUCAUUUGGUCCAACCUCUUCCCUUAAACAUGAGGUAAUGGGGCCCAGAGAGGUGCUCUUGGCUCCUUCCUUUUUCCCUUGUACAGGCAGUGAACGCUGGCCUCGGACCAUCCUCUACGAAACACAGGGCUGCAAAGGUGGGGAGACGCUGGCAGCCCUGCCCUCCUGGGCUCUCAACACCAGCCAUUACAGAGUCAUUAUCAAAUCCAAGUCAGAGUGGUUUUGGUUUUGUUCUCAUCUUGUUGGGUUUUUUUUUCCUGCUAAGUCACUGCCUCCCUCUCUCCCAGAUAUGAAUCAGUACUGGCUCUCAGACUAGUUCUGCUUUAUGUCUGUGCUGGUGGGGUUUGGUCACCAUUAGAUUAAGAAAAUAAAGCAGUAAAUUUUUGCUCAGA